CAAAAUCUGAGUGCUUCUUAAUGUGCCAGGCACUGUUUUAAGCAGUUGUGGUAGAAAAAUAUCCCUGCUUGUGGACACUACAUUCUAGUGGAGGAGUCAGAUAUAUAUAAUGUUAGCCAGACUACACACCUCUGGAUGGCAGAGAGGGGGACUCAAACAUCUUUGAACUCGCAACAUGGCAACAUUUCUUGGUCCUAAUACUGUCACUGGCAAGGUUGGUGUUUUAAGGAAGAGAUAAUAGUGCACAAACACAUUGGAUGGAUUUUGAAGGAAGACUAAGCAUUUGCCAGCUGGAAGAUAUGAAGACAUUUUAGGCAGAGGGAACCAUUGGCGCCAGGUCAGAGAGCUGUGAAAGGCUGCAUUUUCUGGGAAACCUACAGCUGCCCUGAAGUCUAAUGGAUAAGGCGUUCUGAGGCAGAUGGAUGUGAGGGGGAAAAGAAACUGCAGGGGAGUUCCCCACUUUGUGGAGAGGAAAGAGAGGUUUCCCUAAGGAGGUCAGGAUAGGAUCUGAGUCACGGGGCAGCCAUUUUGGAAGGAAGACAUUUGUCAACCAGGAAGCUGUAAUUCAAAAUGUGGACUUAAGCAAGAGGAAACACCCAGCUCUCUCUUGAAUCCAGGUUUCAAGAAGCACUCACCAGAUAGCUGUGCAUAUCAGAUUGCAGGUAAAU